UACGUAGGGGGCUAGCGUUGUCCGGAUUUAUUGGGCGUAAAGAGCUCGUAGGCGGUUGGGCAAGUCACGUGUGAAAUCUCCACGCUCAACGUGGAGGCGCCACGUGAGACUGCCCUGACUCGAGUCCGGUAGGGGAGCGUGGAAUUCCCGGUGUAGCGGUGAAAUGACGCAGAGAUACGGGCGAGGAACACCCGUAGCGAAGGCGGCGCUCUGGGCCGGUACUGACGCUGAGGAGCGAAAGCGUGGGGAGCAAACAGG
rnacentral:rRNA from 1 species